rnacentral:rRNA from 1 species
AUUGAACGCUGGCGGCAGGCUUAACACAUGCAAGUCGAGCGGAGAUGAGGUGCCUGCACCUUAUCUUAGCGGCGGACGGGUGAGUAAUGCUUAGGAAUCUGCCUAUUAGUGGGGGACAACAUUCCGAAAGGAAUGCUAAUACCGCAUACGUCCUACGGGAGAAAGCAGGGGAUCUUCGGACCUUGCGCUAAUAGAUGAGCCUAAGUCGGAUUAGCUAGUUGGUGGGGUAAAGGCCUACCAAGGCGACGAUCUGUAGCGGGUCUGAGAGGAUGAUCCGCCACACUGGGACUGAGACACGGCCCAGACUCCUACGGGAGGCAGCAGUGGGGAAUAUUGGACAAUGGGCGGAAGCCUGAUCCAGCCAUGCCGCGUGUGUGAAGAAGGCCUUUUGGUUGUAAAGCACUUUAAGCGAGGAGGAGGCUACCUAGAUUAAUACUCUGGGAUAGUGGACGUUACUCGCAGAAUAAGCACCGGCUAACUCUGUGCCAGCCGCCGCGGUAAGAC